UACGGAGGGGGCUAGCGUUGUUCGGAAUCACUGGGCGUAAAGCGCACGUAGGCGGAUGUGUCAGUCAGGGGUGAAAUCCCGGAGCUCAACUUCGGAACUGCCUUUGAUACAGCACGUCUUGAGUCCGAUAGAGGUGGGUGGAAUUCCUAGUGUAGAGGUGAAAUUCGUAGAUAUUAGGAAGAACACCGGUGGCGAAGGCGGCCCACUGGAUCGGUACUGACGCUGAGGUGCGAAAGCGUGGGGAGCAAACAGG
rnacentral:rRNA from 1 species